rnacentral:rRNA from 1 species
UACGAAGGGGGCUAGCGUUGCUCGGAAUCACUGGGCGUAAAGGGUGCGUAGGCGGGUUUUUAAGUCAGGGGUGAAAUCCUGGAGCUCAACUCCAGAACUGCCUUCGAUACUGGGAGUCUCGAGUCCGGGAGAGGUGAGUGGAACUGCGAGUGUAGAGGUGAAAUUCGUAGAUAUUCGCAAGAACACCAGUGGCGAAGGCGGCUCACUGGCCCGGUACUGACGCUGAGGUGCGAAAGCGUGGGGAGCAAACAGG